rnacentral:lncRNA from 1 species
CCUCAAUUUCGUAGUAGCUAUUACCCAAUCUAGCUCUCACUCUUGCCUUGAUGAAACUUGGAGCCAGUUUGGCGUUGAAGCCUUUUGCAAAAUUACUUUGUUGAAAGUUACGACGGAAUAAUUCCUGACCAACUGCAAAAGAAACUUCUCGGCUUCGUUUGUUAUAAUUCCGCUCAUUUCGAAUACAUUGUCGCAGCAUGGACUGUUUUGCCUUUGAGCGAAUCAAGUCGAAGGAAUCCUCCCUGUUAAACUGCACAGUUCUAUCUUCCAAAAGUUCUAAUCUGCGCAAGAGGUCGUACUGAGAUCCACUCGUAACCAUAUGUUGACCAAAUGCCAUACGAUAAGGGCUGGAACUUACACCUGAGUGAACGCUUGAACGCAACGAACAGCAUAUUUGACUUAGCUGUUCAUCCCAGUUCUUCUGAUCCGGUUUUAUGUAGGAUUUUAUUGCGGCAAUUACCGAUCUAUUUACCCUUUCAGACGCAUUGCCUUGAGGAGCAUAGAUGGCUGUAUAGCAAUGCUUAAUUUUGUAUUUUUCCAGAAGUGCAUUGAAGCUAUUG